rnacentral:lncRNA from 1 species
GUUCUCUCUGCUACCACACGGCAAGCGGUACCGGAGCGCCAAGUCUAGGUCCAAAAGACUUCUUAACAACUUCUACCCCCAAACAAUAAGACUCCUGAACAGCUAAUGAAUUGGCUACCCAGACUAUUUGCAAUGCCCCCCCCCCCACACUGCUGCUACUCUCUGUUUAUUAUCUGUGCAUAGUCACUUCAACUCUACCUACAUGUACAUAUUACCUCAAUUAACCGGUAACCCCACACAUUGACUCUGUACCGGUACCCCCUGUAUAUAGUCUCCACAUUGACUCUGUACCGGUACCCCCUGUAUAUAGCCUCCACAUUGACUCUGUACCGGUACCCCCUGUAUAUAGCUUCCACAUUGACUCUGUACCAGUAACCCCUGUAUAUAGCCUCCACAUUGACUCUGUACCGGUACCCCCUGUAUAUAGCCUCCACAUUGACUCUGUACCGGUACCCCCCUGUAUAUAGUCUCCACAUUGACUCUGUACCGGUACCCCCUGUAUAUAGCCUCCACAUUGACUCUGUACCGGUACCCCCUGUAUAUUGCCUCCACAUUGACUCUGUACCGGUAUCCCCUGUAUAUAGCCUCCACAUUGACUCUGUACCGGUACCCCCUGUAUAUAGCCUCCACAUUGACUCUGUACCGGGACCCCCUGUAUAUAGCCUCCACAUUGACUCUGUACCGGUACCCCCUGUAUAUAGCCUCCACAUUGACUCUGUACCGGUACCCCCUGUAUAUAGCCUCCACAUUGACUCUGUACCGUAAUACCCUGUAUAUAGCCUCACUACUGUUAUUUUACCUCUGCUCUUUAAUUAUUUGUUACUGUUAUUUUUUAUUUUUUAUUAAACAGCAUUGUUAGUUAAGGGCUUGUAAAUAAGCAUUUCACUGUAAGAUCUACACCUGUUUUAUGUGGCACAUGUGACAAAUACAAUUUCAUUUGAGGUGGUACCAAUACCCUGUAUCUCUCUGAGGCUGUAAUACUGUUGAUGACCACUAGGUGGAGCCAAUACCCUGUAUCUCUCUGAGGCUGUAAUACUGUUGAUGACCACUAGGUGGAGCCAAUACCCUGUAUCUCUCUGAGGCUGUAAUACUGUUGAUGACCACUAGGUGGUACCAAUACCCUGUAUCUCUCUGAGGCUGUAAUAUUGUUGAUGACCACUAGGUGGUACCAACACCCUGUAUCUCUCUGAGGCUGUAAUACUGUUGAUGACCACUAGGUGGUGCCAAUACCCUGUAUCUCUCUGAGGCUGUAAUACUGUUGAUGACCACCAGGUGGUGCCAAUACCCUGUAUCUCUGAGGCUGUAAUACUGUUGAUGACCACUAGGUGGUGCCAACACCCUGUAUCUCGCUGAGGCUGUAAUACUGUUGAUGACCACUAGGUGGAGCCAAUAUCCUGUCGCCGAUUUGAGAUCAUAACAUUGAAC